CAGGGCGAAGGGAUUUAAUUCCACAAAGCGGACAGUACCUUGUGAGUCGCAGGCCCGGCCUCUAGAAGGGUACGCUGGCAAGAAGGCUCACUAGAGGGGCUUGAGCUGGGGCCCCCUAAGCCGGGGUGUGACA